rnacentral:rRNA from 1 species
CACGGACUUCGGUCUGGUGGCGAGUGGCGAACGGGUGAGUAAUGUAUCGGAACGUGCCCAGUAGCGGGGGAUAACUACGCGAAAGCGUAGCUAAUACCGCAUACGCCCUACGGGGGAAAGCAGGGGAUCGUAAGACCUUGCACUAUUGGAGCGGCCGAUAUCGGAUUAGCUAGUUGGUGGGGUAACGGCUCACCAAGGCGACGAUCCGUAGCUGGUUUGAGAGGACGACCAGCCACACUGGGACUGAGACACGGCCCAGACUCCUACGGGAGGCAGCAGUGGGGAAUUUUGGACAAUGGGGGAAACCCUGAUCCAGCCAUCCCGCGUGUGCGAUGAAGGCCUUCGGGUUGUAAAGCACUUUUGGCAGGAAAGAAACGUCAUGGGUUAAUACCCCGUGAAACUGACGGUACCUGCAGAAUAAGCACCGGCUAACUACGUGCCAGCAGCCGCGGUAAUACGUAGGGUGCAAGCGUUAAUCGGAAUUACUGGGCGUAAAGCGUGCGCAGGCGGUUCGGAAAGAAAGAUGUGAAAUCCCAGAGCUUAACUUUGGAACUGCAUUUUUAACUACCGGGCUAGAGUGUGUCAGAGGGAGGUGGAAUUCCGCGUGUAGCAGUGAAAUGCGUAGAUAUGCGGAGGAACACCGAUGGCGAAGGCAGCCUCCUGGGAUAACACUGACGCUCAUGCACGAAA